rnacentral:misc_RNA from 1 species
GAAAUGCGAUAAGUAGUGUGAAUUGCAGAAUUCAGUGAAUCAUCGAAUCUUUGAACGCACAUUGCGCCCUUUGGUAUUCCUUAGGGCAUGCCUGUUCGAGCGUCAUCUAAACCUUCAAGCCCUGCUUGGUGUUGGAUGCCUGUCCCGCCUCCGCGCGCGGACUCACCUCAAAUCCAUUGGCGGCCCCCGCGUCGGCCACGAGCGCAGCAGAAACGCGAACUCGUGAGCCCGUCCGGGCGGCUCCCAGAAGCUACACCCACCCAGUUUGACCUCGGAUCAGGUAGGGAUACCCGCUGAACUUAAGC